CCAACAUUAUUUUUGUGCAGAUUUCAAUUCAUGCUGCACUCAUCCUGGGGGCAAAAGUUAAAGGUUUUCUAAAAAGCUACUUAGUGAAUGUCUUAGUUAAUGGAAAAGAAAAUAAGUCAAUCCUUUUUUUUCUAACCUUGAAGUUGCAAAGAUUGACAAUGAACUCUGUAAUGGUGCAUUCUCCUCUUGUGUGGUUUUUGAAAGCUGAGUUAUCCUUCCUGUAAUGAUUCUGCACCUGCAAACUAUACGUGGCUUCCUCCAGGCAGUAAAUCUACAGCCCAGGCUCCCUGCAUCUUAUGGCUCCAAUCACUUUGGAUCUCAUCGUCGCCUGCACAUUGCCAUACACAGGGAAGGAGAAGAGAUGGAGAAGGCAAAGACUUUCUGAAAGCCGUGGCUAAAAGCUGGCAUGUGUCACAUCAGCUCACAUUCCAUUGUAGAGACGGGGUUUCACCGUGUUAGCCAGGAUGGUCUUGAUAUCCUGACCUCGUGAUCCGCCCGCCUUGGCUUCCCAAAGUGCUGGGAUUACAGGCGUGAGCCACCGCUCCCGGCCUGGCAGGCAUUCUUGAGGCAAACGGGAAAUGGGUGAACGGGAGGAACAUUGGCAGCACUUGUGGUCUGCACCAAGAACUGAAUCGAAUUUCCAUGUGUUAUUGAAUGUUCACAAAGACCUUGUACAGCGAGUGUUACUACCUCUGGUCAAUGAUUCAACUCAAGGCUCAGAAAAGUCAAGUGUCUUGUCCAGGGACACUUAGUCAGAAGUGAAUCCAAGGUUUAAGCUCAAGUCUGCCUAACUCUGAAUUUCACAGCCUUUUGCUACAUAUGGCGAAUAAUAUAUCCCUGAGCACUAAAGGCAGACUCCAAGGAUCUUGUCUCUGCAAUCAUCAUUCUGGCCAUAAUUUAUGAAAAGCAACCCAAAGUAUGUGAUGUAAUAAAAAGUACUAUCUAUGAGUUUACCCUUCCAAAAAUUGAACUGAAUUCUGAGCUCUAAAUUUGGAAUCAAAAGAACUUUUCUCUGCACUAAUCAUUUGGAACAUCACUUAAAGAAAACAACGAAAAACUGGUGUCCCCUGAGAGAAAGCAAUACAAAACAUUAUGCAUAAAGAAAUCCUUCCAAAAAAUAAACCAAAUCCAGUCAAAUCUCUAGUUUUGACUCCUAGCUUACCGGAAAUACGUGAUGGGAAAAAAAUGAAAUGACACCACUAUGAUUCAAUCAGCCAAAUCCAGCAUAUGCAAAUUUCUACCAGAUAAAUGGUUUAGUUUCUUCCCCAAACAAAUGGCACAAGGAAACGGAGGUAAGAAUGGGAUGCUGUUAUAGAUUUUAAAAGAUUUAAGAAAGUAUAAACUAAAUACACUAUGUGCAUCCUCUCUGAACGUGCUUCAAACAUAUCAAGGGGUCAAUGAGCAGUUUUGAAACAAUAAGGGAAUUUGAACACUGAAUGGUUGUCAGAAGAUAGUAAGAGAUCAUUAUUAAUUUUACUAGACAUAAUGAUGUUCUGAUUUUGUUUUUUUUUUAAAAAAAAAACAGUGUUAUUUCCUUUAUAGAUACAUCAUAUAGUAUUAACUAAUGAAAUGCUUUGAUAUCUGGAACGUUUAAAAAAUAUUCCCGAUGGAGUAAGUGCAAAGAAACAGGUAAGCAAAAUGCUGAUAAUUGCUGAAACACAGGAUGUGUACCUGGGGCUUCAUUUACUAUCUCUUCAUUUUCUAUUUUGAUAUUUGUUGGACAUUCUCAUAAAAAGGAAAGUUAUGUUUUAUUUUCUCAUAAGCUAGUAAUGAAAUAGCCCUACGUAACUGAUAUUGUAGAGACAAGAAUAGGUGUAAUAGAGCUUAAGGUUUUCAUUUAAAAAACUAUCUGUAGACUUCAAUGGAUCUUAGGUGGCAUCCAUGCAAUAACACUCGUGGAACAUGCAGGACAGGUGUGGAGCUCCAUCUUCACACAGUGACAUUUUUUAUGCUUCUGUUUUCCCUAAGAGUGGAGUGAGAGGAUGAUUAUUUUAUAUCAUGGACUUCUUCCCUGCUAUACUUUUUUUAAUUAUUUUACUUUCACUUCUGGGAUACAUGUGCUGAGCAUGCAGGCUUGUUUACAUAGGUAUACAUCUGCCAUGGUGGUUUGCUGCACCUAUCAACCCAUCAUACAGGUUUUAAGCCCUGCAUGCAUUAGGUAUUCGCCCUAAUGCUCUCCCUCGCCUUUCCCCCCACCCCCUGAUAGCCCCCAGUGAGUCAUAUUCCCCUCCCUGUGUCCAUGUGUUCUCAUUGUUCAACUCCCAUUUAUGAGUGAGAAUAUGUGGUGUUUAGUUUUCUGUUCCUGUGUUAGUUUGCUGAGAAUGAUGUUUUCCAGCUUCAUCCAUGUCCCUGAAAAGGACAUGAGCUCAUUCUUUUUUAUGGCUGCAUAGUAUUCCACGGUGUUAUAUGUGCCACAUUUUCUUAAUCCAGUCUGUCAUUGAUGGACAUUUGGGUUGUUUCCAAGUCUUUGCUAUUGUAAAUAGUGCUGCAAUAAACAUAUGUGUGCAUGUGUCUUUGUAGUAGAAUGAUUUAUAAUCCUUUGGGUAUAUGCCCAGUAAUGGGACUGAUGGGUCAAAUGGUAUUUCUGGUUCUAGAUCCUUGAGGAAUUGCCACACUGUCUUCCACAAUGGUUGAACUAAUUUAUACUCCCACCAACAGGGUAAAAGCAUUCCUAUUUCUCCACAUCCUCUCCAGCAUCUGUUGUUUCCAAAUGUUUUAAUGAUUGCCAUUCCACCUGGCGUGAGAUGGUAUCUCAUUGUGGUUUUGAUUUUCAUUUCUCUAAUGACCAGUGAUGAUAAGCUUUUUUUCAUAUGUUUGUUGGCCACAUAAAUGUCUUCUUUUGACUUUUAUGUGGAAACAAAUUUAACUGCACAGAGAGGUGAAAAUUAAUUAAUAACUUUUAAAGUAAUUCCCUAAGUUUCUAAGGAUCUAUAUGUUUCCAUCUGACUUUAUUUUAUUUAAGCUCUUGAUUGAUGCUGCAUUUGGAGCAGGUUCAUGAACAUGAAUAGAGUUAAUCUGGGACAGAUUUCCCUCAUUUGAUUUUUUCACUGUUUCCAUCACAGAACUUAUUUCAUGCUCACCAUGUUUGCAGGCAUUGAGCUUGGUACUGGAGCCACAGAGCUGGAUCAGACAGACUUGUGCAAAUAUUUCAGGUUUUUUUUGUGGGGGGGUCAUAUUUAUAGAUAAAUAACAGUAAAGAGUGACGGGUUCUUAUGAAAAUGCAUACACAGUGAAGUAGAGGGUGAAAAGGAGGGAUGUGUUCUAUGAGGAGGAAGAGUGAUAAGAAAGUGUAAGGGGAUGUGUCUGUGUCUAGACAUAUGUGUGUUCACGUGUGUGCGUGCUUGUGUGUACUGCAUGUGUAUAUGUGUGGCCAUGCACCUGUGUGCAUGUUCAUGUGUGUGUGUGUAUGUGUCUGUGUUGAGGACUAAAUUAAUUGGGCUUAUGGAAGCAGGGAGCCACUGAUAGGUUUAAUUAGAGACUGACAUGAUAUGAUAGUUUAGGUGGAUUUCUCUGGGGGCUGUGUUGAGGGACAGUGGGGAGGAGAGCUAGAAGGAAGAAAAGGACACAUGCAUAACAGAAGCAAUAUCUGUCUAUGGGAUGGUGGAAAGAAUCAGAAAAGACUUAAUAAAACAUGUGACACUUUAACUGAAUCUUGAAAUAGACAAGUGUUGGAGGAGGGAGUUGGACCAGAUACUUCAUGCAAAGGGAAGAAAAGUGCACAAACAAAAUAUGAGAAACAAGGCAGACAGGCAUUUUUUUAAAAUUUUCGCACCCACUGAUAGACCAGUGAUGCAUUCACAUCGUCUGCAUUCAUGAUCAACAAAAGUGCUUUCCUAGAACAUGAACCUCAACCCAAGUGUCGCCUCAAGUAGUGUAUGCAUGAACUCAAGCAUUAAAUUAGAAUUGAUUUUUUAAAAAACUCACACAAACAGAUGUAUUAUUUAAAAAUCUUUAAAGCAGGUUUAAACAGUUUUCAGGAUUAAAAGCAGCCACUAUUAGAAAGAACAAAAAUACAUUUGACAUAAAUAUAAGGAGCCUCAAUAGAACCUCCUGUACCCAGUCAUUGUCAAUGCCACAUCCAUUCAUUCACCAGCCCUUAUAUCAAUGCUUGCUGGGCUCACUUACCACGAUCAGCACGUGCAUGUCCUUAUCUGAAAGCUUGCCACUCAAAUGUGCUCAGUCUUACCUGUGUGGCUGGGAGUGUUGGGGAUUUAAUGUCAAGGGAAAGAAUCUUCCAUCAAUGAAUGAUGAAAGUUAGUUUUCACAACUUCCGGUCCCCUUGGCCCUCAUCAAAGGGCUCCAGGUGAGGUUUGGGCUCCUUGCUAUCCUCCGAGUUUCCACGGUAGUUUUAAGCACCAUUGCCCGUGGUAAUGGCUGACAUUGAUACUGCACUUUUUUUUUAUUUAAGAUGGAGUUCCCCUCUGCCACCCAGACUGGAGUACAGUGGCGCGAUCCUGGCCAUCGCAACCUCCGCCUCCCAGAUCCCUCCUACAACACAUGAGAAUUGUGGGUGCUACAAUUCAAGAUGAGAUUUGAGUGGGGACAAAGUCAAACCAUAUCAUUAGAUAGGACACUGGAGAAAGGCAAGAAAGAAAAGACAUCUGAAGAAUGAAGGGAGCCAAAGAAAUGCCAACAUUUUGCUUUUUGAAGAAAAGCUAAAUUAAAGUCAAAAUGGAUUUAUCAAUUUCCUUGGGUUCGUGAAUGUACAGAACUUUAUUAAGACUGUCAUGCUGUCAUCAUGGCUGGAUCUGAUACGGCCACCGUGGACCUUGAGGUGACCUCGGGAAUGGAGACAGUGCAUGGGAGAGAAUCACAUUGGAAGGGGCCUGGGUUUCUGAAGACCCUGUAAGACAGAUCUCCUUGCAGCCCUGACUGCCCACAUUAGGGCUUUUAUGUUAGGGUGAAGUUACCUUGCAUUGUCAUAUAAGCAAUUGCUAUUUGUGGUGUCUUGCAAAUAAACCUAUUCUGAUCU
rnacentral:lncRNA from 10 species